UACGUAGGGACCGAGCGUUGUCCGGAAUCAUUGGGCGUAAAGAGCGUGUAGGCGGCCACUUAAGUCCGGCGUGAAAUCUUGCGGCUCAACCGCAAGCGGUCGUGGGAAACUGGGUGGCUAGAGUGCGGGAGAGGAGAGUGGAAUUCCUGGUGUAGCGGUGGAAUGCGCAGAUAUCAGGAAGAACACCCGUGGCGAAGGCGGCUCUCUGGAACGCAACUGACGCUGAGACGCGAAAGCGUGGGGAGCAAACAGG
rnacentral:rRNA from 1 species